CCAAUAGCGUAUAUUAAAGUUGUUGCAGUUAAAAAGCUCGUAGUUGAAUUUCGGGAUUAAUUUACUGGUCGUGCUAUUGUACGUACUGGUUUUAUUGAUUCCUCCCUUCUGACGAACUAUGAUGUCAUUAAUUUGGUGUCAUAGGGAAUCAGGACUGUUACUUUGAAAAAAUUAGAGUGUUUAAAGCAGGCUCACGCUUGAAUACAUUAGCAUGGAAUAACGGAAUAGGACGUUUGAUUCUAUUUUGUUGGUUUCUAGGAUCGACGUAAUGAUUAAUAGGGAUAGUUGGGGGCAUUAGUAUUCAAUUGUCAGAGGUGAAAUUCUUGGAUUUAUUGAAGACUAACUACUGCGAAAGCAUUUGCCAAGGAUGUUUUCAUUAAUCAAGAACGAAAGUUAGGGGAUCGAAGACGAUCAGAUACCGUCGUAGUCUUAACCAUAAACUAUGCCGACUAGGGAUCGGAUGAUGUUAAUUUUUUAAUGACUCAUUCGGCGCCUUACG
rnacentral:rRNA from 1 species